CGGGAAGUAGUCUAGCUUGGUAGGGCGCUCGGUUUGGGACCGAGAGAUCGCAGGUUCAAAUCCUGUCUUCCCGA
rnacentral:tRNA from 1 species